GACAGAGGGUGCAAACGUUGUUCGGAUUUACUGGGCGUAAAGCGCGUGUAGGCGGCUUCGCAAGUUGGAUGUGAAAUCCCACGGCUCAACCGUGGACGUGCAUCCAAAACUGCGUCGCUGGAGUCUCGGAGAGGAAGGUGGAAUGCUUGGUGUAGAGGUGAAAUUCGUAGAUAUCAAGCAGAACACCUGCGGCGAAGGCGGCCUUCGGGACGAUGACUGACGCUGAGACGCGAAAGCGUGGGGAGCAAACAGG
rnacentral:rRNA from 1 species